rnacentral:rRNA from 1 species
UACGUAGGGGGCAAGCGUUGUCCGGAAUUAUUGGGCGUAAAGAGCGCGUAGGCGGUCCGGUAAGUCGGCUGUGAAAGUCAAGGGCUCAACCCUUGAAAGCCGGCCGAUACUGCCGGACUAGAGUCCGGAAGAGGCGAGUGGAAUUCCCGGUGUAGCGGUGAAAUGCGCAGAUAUCGGGAGGAACACCAAUGGCGAAAGCAGGAGCCUGGACCAUUACUGACACUCAGCUGCGAAAGCUAGGGGAGCAAACAGG